rnacentral:lncRNA from 1 species
CACCUCUCUACAAUCAUCUCUACUGCUCCUUGAUGAUUGUCUUUCAUGCAACCUGUGUCAUUUUCUUUUUCAGGGAUACUAUUUCCUGCUCUUUUCAGAUGCAAGUUUGGUGGGGAGAUGGAGAAUCUGCUUGUUUAUAUCACAUCCUCGGAAAAUCAAAGUUUCAGAAUGACAAAGGAAAACAUUUUUUAAAAAAAAGUCAGAAGACAAUGACACAGCGGGGGAAGUGUCUGCCAUGCACAUAACAAAGGAUUGGAUUUCAAGGCGCUUUGGCAGGAGUGCAGGCAAAGUGUAACCUUGAAAAGUGAUCAGAGGUGCGAACUUGCAGGCAUGAAGCCUGUUAAUCUCUAUAACCAUAAAAAAAGAAAGAAAGAAAGCCGUCCUGAAUUGAGGAUGCCCAUAACAGCCCACGGCAAACAUGAGACGCCUUUAGGGGGAAAAAGCAACUUUCCUUCAUUUUUCCCAAGGUCCAUGGCUCAUACAGCUCCCCCACAGACGAGAGGACUGCAGAGACCCGCCUGACCAUGCAUUUGCUGAGUUGUAUGUGGCCUGGCUGCGUUCCAAGGGAAGACCUCAAGGCUCAGGGAACACUGUACUUUUCUGCUAAGAGUCAUGAGGGAGGUGGCAGCUGUAGAGCAACUGGACUGGACAGAAAGGGUUAGGACCUAAGGGUCUAAGCUGGGAAGCAGCUUCCUCGAGGCCGGGCCAUUCCCGUGUCUCUGUGGGGUCCCCACUCCCUGGUGUGGGGCGGGACACCUGAGGAUGGUCACAGGCAAGAGGAGGAGGUCAGAGAGUGACCUGAUUCAUGGAGGGACUUGCUUGGGGGACAGAACUGCAGUCUCUGCCUUGUGCUCCUGGGCAAUGGGGUGGGGGCGGGGACCCGAGAAAAGUGAAGCUCAGACCUUUGGGUUUGGGGAGCUGGGUUCUGCUAGGAAAGCGCAGCCUGCCAAGGUAAAGCCUUCUGAGCUCUGACAGGGCCAGUACUGUUCUAACCUUCCCGGCCACCUGGUGAAUGUAAGUUAAGAUAAAAAAUGAACCACUGUCAUUAAUCAUUGUUAGAUUCCGAAAUGAAAAUGUUGAUAAUAUUGAACAGUAGCAGAACAGGCUGCCCCCCCGCAAAUAUGCUACUUUGGCAUAGUGUUAUUUUGAGCUGAAAGUAAUUGAGAUAAAACAAAUAGAAGGAAAACUCUCUGUCCCCUCUCCUUUUGCCUAAAAGUAGGGUAUAAGUUUGUCGAGAUAGAUCCCCUCUACUCUUCACCAAGGAUAGCGUUAAUUACUAGACACAACUCUAGACCUUAUUGGAACACCAGAGGAAUCUAUGGAAAAAAAUUCACUAAGUAGCUUGUAUUGAACAUUAGCUUCCUUGAAAUAUUUCCUUCUUACAGUUCGUAGUCCCAGAAACUCAAAGGCCUUUUAGUUUUUCUCAUCAUUUGUUGAAAACUUCAGUCAUUUGAUUGCUAUGGCUGAGUGUAUCUGUGUGUAUACAUCGUGAAUAUAUUGAUUUUUUUUUUGCUUGUUUUAUUCCUGUUAAUCAGACUGAAGUUAGAGUCCCUGCUUGAUUACCUUAGAUGUUUCCUCCUCUACAGUAUCAAAUCCUGGCCUUGAUGUGAGACACUCACACAGGCUGUAGGUGUGCUUAUAAAUUGCUAUAAUCUGGCAUUUUAAUUAAAUUAAAAAUAAGUAUGUCUUUAACAUAAUGCUUAUGCUUUCGAGCAUUUAUUUAACAAAUAAAAAUUUACAUCAAAGAAUGUUUAUUAUGCCCAUUUUCUGUUCACAAAAAUAGAAAAAAAUGGAACCUUUUUAAUAAGCUACUAGCUGAAUUUUAGCUUAUAGAAUAUUAUAUGGCUAAGUAAAAAUAAUGAGAUAUAUUUGUUUUAG